CCUACGGGUGGCAGCAGUGGGGAAUAUUGCGCAAUGGGCGAAAGCCUGACGCAGCGACGCCGCGUGAGGGAUGAAGGUCUUCGGAUCGUAAACCUCUGUCAGCAGGGAAGAACGGUCACUGUGCUAAUCAGCAGUGAAUUGACGGUACCUGCAAAGGACGCACCGGCUAACUCCGUGCCAGCAGCCGCGGUAAUACGGAGGGUGCGAGCGUUAAUCGGAAUUACUGGGCGUAAAGCGCUCGUAGGCGGUAUGUCAAGUCAAGGGUGAAAUCCCCGGGCUCAACGUGGGAACUGCCUUUGAAACUGGCAGACUGGAGUGUGUGAGAGGAUAGUGGAAUUCCAAGUGUAGGAGUGAAAUCCGUAGAUAUCUGGAGGAACACCAGUGGCGAAGGCGACUAUCUGGCACAUAACUGACGCUGAGGAGCGAAAGCGUGGGUAGCAAACAGGAUUAGAUACCCGUGUAGUC
rnacentral:rRNA from 1 species